UACGUAGGGGGCAAGCGUUGUCCGGAAUCAUUGGGCGUAAAGCGCGCGUAGGCGGCCCGGUAAGUCCGUUGUGAAAGUCAAAGGCUCAACCUUUGAACGCCGAUGGAUACUGCCGGGCUAGAGUCCGGAAGAGGCGAGUGGAAUUCCUGGUGUAGCGGUGAAAUGCGCAGAUAUCGGGAAGGAACACCAAUGGCGAAGGCAGCUCGCUGGGACGUUACUGACGCUGAGACGCGAAAGCGUGGGGAGCAAACAGGG
rnacentral:rRNA from 1 species